UAUGAGAAUGCACAGCGAAAGAGGAAAUGUGUAAUCAUGCGACCCUGCUUCACUGCAUUGUAUCGGUAAAUACUAUAAAGAAGAAAUGUGCACAUGGCACGAAGCAGUAUCAGAACAAAUAUAUGUGAAUUGUCUCCAUAAGUGACGCAUAUUUAGACCUUCAAGAUCUAUUAAUAAACACCACUGCGAAACUGGAUGGCCAGAAACAGCAGUUGCUUCUUCCAUAAGAACCAGUCCUUCUUCGCAAAUAUGUAGUACCUACAAUGGCAAUAUUAAUUAUGAAUAUGUGGAAACCUAUAAAAUAUAUAAAUAAUAUAAACUGUUAUUUUUACAUGAUGUGUACUGUAUAAUGCUGCGUAUAGUGUUAUUAUACAAAUGAAACUUACCAGCAACAGCAAGU